UACGUAGGGGGCAAGCGUUGUCCGGAUUCAUUGGGCGUAAAGAGCGUGUAGGCGGCCAGGUAGGUCGGUUGUGAAAACUGGAGGCUCAACCUUCAGAGGUCGACCGAAACCAUCUGGCUAGAGUCCGGGAGAGGAGAGUGGAAUUCCUGGUGUAGCGGUGAAAUGCGCAGAUAUCAGGAAGAACACCCGUGGCGAAAGCGGCUCACUGGGGGUUUUCUGACGCUGAGGAACGAAAGCCAGGGUAGCGAACGGG
rnacentral:rRNA from 1 species